rnacentral:rRNA from 1 species
GAUGAACGCUGGCGGCGUGCCUAAUACAUGCAAGUCGAGCGAACAGACGAGGAGCUUGCUCCUCUGACGUUAGCGGCGGACGGGUGAGUAACACGUGGAUAACCUACCUAUAAGACUGGGAUAACUUCGGGAAACCGGAGCUAAUACCGGAUAAUAUAUUGAACCGCAUGGUUCAAUAGUGAAAGACGGUUUUGCUGUCACUUAUAGAUGGAUCCGCGCCGCAUUAGCUAGUUGGUAAGGUAACGGCUUACCAAGGCAACGAUGCGUAGCCGACCUGAGAGGGUGGACGGCCAGACUGGAACUGAGACACGGUCCAGACUCCUACGGGGGGCAGCAGUAGGGAAUCUUCCGCAAUGGGCGAAAGCCUGACGGAGCAACGCCGCGUGAGUGAUGAAGGUGUUCGGAUCGUAAAACUCUGUUAUUAGGGAAGAACAAAUGUGUAAGUAACUAUGCACGUCUUGACGGUACCUAAUCAGAAAGCCACGGCUAACUACGUG